rnacentral:rRNA from 1 species
UAAAGCGUGCGCAGGCGGCUUUGCAAGACAGAUGUGAAAUCCCCGGACUCAACCUGGGAACUGCAUUUGUGACUGCAAGGCUAGAGUACGGUAGAGGGGGAUGGAAUUCCGCGUGUAGCAGUGAAAUGCGUAGAUAUGCGGAGGAACACCAAUGGCGAAGGCAAUCCCCUGGACCUGUACUGACGCUCAUGCACGAAAGCGUGGGGAGCAAACAGGAUUAGAUACCCUGU